CAUAGGUUAAUGAGGCGAACCGGGGGAACUGAAACAUCUAAGUACCCCGAGGAAAAGAAAUCAACCGAGAUUCCCCCAGUAGCGGCGAGCGAACGGGGAGCAGCCCAGAGCCUGAAUCAGUAUGUGUGUUAGUGGAAGCGUCUGGAAAGGCGCGCGAUACAGGGUGACAGCCCCGUACACAAAAAUGCACAUGCUGUGAGCUCGAUGAGUAGGGCGGGACACGUGGUAUCCUGUCUGAAUAUGGGGGGACCAUCCUCCAAGGCUAAAUACUCCUGACUGACCGAUAGUGAACCAGUACCGUGAGGGAAAGGCGAAAAGAACCCCGGCGAGGGGAGUGAAAAAGAACCUGAAACCGUGUACGUACAAGCAGUGGGAGCACGCUUAGGCGUGUGACUGCGUACCUUUUGUAUAAUGGGUCAGCGACUUAUAUUCUGUAGCAAGGUUAACCGAAUAGGGGAGCCGAAGGGAAACCGAGUCUUAACUGGGCGUUAAGUUGCAGGGUAUAGACCCGAAACCCGGUGAUCUAGCCAUGGGCAGGUUGAAGGUUGGGUAACACUAACUGGAGGACCGAACCGACUAAUGUUGAAAAAUUAGCGGAUGACUUGUGGCUGGGGGUGAAAGGCCAAUCAAACCGGGAGAUAGCUGGUUCUCCCCGAAAGCUAUUUAGGUAGCGCCUCGUGAAUUCAUCUCCGGGGGUAGAGCACUGUUUCGGCAAGGGGGUCAUCCCGACUUACCAACCCGAUGCAAACUGCGAAUACCGGAGAAUGUUAUCACGGGAGACACACGGCGGGUGCUAACGUCCGUCGUGAAGAGGGAAACAACCCAGACCGCCAGCUAAGGUCCCAAAGUCAUGGUUAAGUGGGAAACGAUGUGGGAAGGCCCAGACAGCCAGGAUGUUGGCUUAGAAGCAGCCAUCAUUUAAAGAAAGCGUAAUAGCUCACUGGUCGAGUCGGCCUGCGCGGAAGAUGUAACGGGGCUAAACCAUGCACCGAAGCUGCGGCAGCGACGCUGAUGCGUUGUUGGGUAGGGGAGCGUUCU
rnacentral:rRNA from 1 species